UACGGGGGGAGUAAGCGUUGUUCGGAUUUACUGGGCGUAAAGGGCGCGUAGGCGGCCAGCACAAGUCGGUUGUGAAAUCUCCGGGCUUAACUCGGAACGGUCAAGUGAUACUGUCGGACUAGAGUACAGAAGGGGCAACUGGAAUUCUCGGUGUAGCGGUGAAAUGCGUAGAUAUCGAGAGGAACACCUGCGGCGAAGGCGGGUUGCUGGGCUGAUACUGACGCUGAUGCGCGAAAGCCAGGGGAGCGAACGGG
rnacentral:rRNA from 1 species